rnacentral:rRNA from 1 species
GAUGAACGCUGGCGGCGUGCUUAACACAUGCCAGUCGAACGGAAAGGCUCCUGCUUGCAGGGGUACUCGAGUGGCGAACGGGUGAGUAACACGUGGGUGAUCUGCCCUGCACUUCGGGAUAAGCCUGGGAAACUGGGUCUAAUACCGGAUAGGACGAUGGUUUGGAUGCCAUUGUGGAAAGUUUUUCGGUGUGGGAUGAGCUCGCGGCCUAUCAGCUUGUUGGUGGGGUAAUGGCCUACCAAGGCGUCGACGGGUAGCCGGCCAGAGAGGGUGUACGGCCACAUUGGGACUGAGAUACGGCCCAGACUCCUACGGGAGGCAGCAGUGGGGAAUAUUGCACAAUGGGCGCAAGCCUGAUGCAGCGACGCCGCGUGGGGGAUGACGGCCUUCGGGUUGUAAACUCCUUUCGCUAGGGACGAAGCGCAAGUGACGGUACCUGGAGAAGAAGCACCGGCUAACUACGUG